rnacentral:rRNA from 1 species
UACGUAGGUGGCGAGCGUUGUCCGGAUUUACUGGGUGUAAAGGGCGUGCAGGCGGGAGCGCAAGUCAGAUGUGAAAGCUCCGGGCUCAACCCGGAGACUGCAUAUGAAACUGUGUUUCUUGAGUGAUGGAGAGGCAGGCGGAAUUCCUCGUGUAGCGGUGAAAUGCAUAGAUAUGAGGAGGAACACCAGUGGCGAAGGCGGCCUGCUGGACAUUAACUGACGCUGAGGCGCGAAAGCGUGGGGAGCAAACAGGAUUAGAUACC